UACAGAGGGUGCGAGCGUUAAUCGGAAUUACUGGGCGUAAAGCGUGCGUAGACGGCUAUCUAAGUCGGGUGUGAAAGCCCGGGCUCACCUGGGAAUUGCAUUCGAGACUGAAUAGCUAGGGUACGGUAGAGGGAAGUGGAAUUUCCGGUGUAGCGGUGAAAUGCGUAGAUAUCGGAAGGAACAUCAGUGGCGAAAGCGACUUCCUGGACCAGUACCGACGUUCAGGCACGAAAGCGUGGGAGCAAACAGGA
rnacentral:rRNA from 1 species